AAUGCAGGCUGGCUGCAAGAGAUUAUAAUAACUUGCCUCCACUGAAGAAACUUGUCCAGAGCAAACAUCUUCCUCUCAAAUAAAAAAAGCCACGUAUGCAGUGAAAAAUUUUCAUUAAGGCCAGUUUUCUCAGAUCAGCACCCAAAUGCUCUUGCAUCAAGUUUGGCAAAAGAUGAGGGGAAGCUUGGAGGAAAGCAAAAUCUCCCUAACUUUCAGAAUUGUCCAUGACCAAAAGGCAGAAGGAAGCCUUCAAAUCAGGGCAGAAGCUGGAAACUCCUGUCCACCAUGCCUCGAAUCAGUGAAAAACAGCAUGCAAACUUCAUAUUCCUUUGGAUAUAUAUUCAACCAUCAUCUUUCAGUAAAGUGUUAAAAUGA